AAAAUCCACUAGGGGAGCUGCGGAGGCAGCUGAGACAAGUGAUCGCUUGGACCCUUUGAACCUGAUCCGGUUAAUACCGGCGGAGGGAAGUGGAGCAGGCCUAUA
rnacentral:ncRNA from 1 species